rnacentral:rRNA from 1 species
GACGAACGCUGGCGGCGUGCUUAACACAUGCAAGUCGAACGGAAAGACCCUGCUUUUGUGGGGUGCUCGAGUGGCGAACGGGUGAGUAACACGUGAGUAACCUGCCCUUGACUUUGGGAUAACUUCAGGAAACUGGGGCUAAUACCGGAUAGGAGCUCCUGCUGCAUGGUGGGGGUUGGAAAGUUUCGGCGGUUGGGGAUGGACUCGCGGCUUAUCAGCUUGUUGGUGGGGUAGUGGCUUACCAAGGCUUUGACGGGUAGCCGGCCUGAGAGGGUGACCGGCCACAUUGGGACUGAGAUACGGCCCAGACUCCUACGGGAGGCAGCAGUGGGGAAUAUUUCACAAUGGGCGGAAGCCUGAUGCAGCAACGCCGCGUGCGGGAUGACGGCCUUCGGGUUGUAAACCGCUUUCGCCUGUGACGAAGCGUGAGUGACGGUAAUGGGUAAAGAAGCACCGGCUAACUACGUG